AUUGAACGCUGGCGGCAGGCUUAACACAUGCAAGUCGAGCGGGGGAAGGUAGCUUGCUACCGGACCUAGCGGCGGACGGGUGAGUAAUGCUUAGGAAUCUGCCUAUUAGUGGGGGACAACAUCUCGAAAGGGAUGCUAAUACCGCAUACGUCCUACGGGAGAAAGCAGGGGAUCUUCGGACCUUGCGCUAAUAGAUGAGCCUAAGUCGGAUUAGCUAGUUGGUGGGUAAAGGCCUACCAAGGCGACGAUCUGUAGCGGGUCUGAGAGGAUGAUCCGCCACACUGGGACUGGGACACGGCCCAGACUCCUACGGGAGGCAGCAGUGGGGACUAUUGGACAAUGGGGGGAACCCUGAUCCAGCCAUGCCGCGUGUGUGAAGAAGGCCUUAUGGUUGUAAAGCACUUUAAGCGAGGAGGAGGCUACUCUAGUUAAUACCUAGGGAUUGUGGACGUUACUCGCAGAAUAAGCACCGGCUAACUCUGUGCCAGCAGCCGCCGUAA
rnacentral:rRNA from 1 species